rnacentral:rRNA from 1 species
GAUGAACGCUGGCGGCGUGCUUAACACAUGCAAGUCGAACGGAAAGGCUCCUGCUUGCAGGGGUACUCGAGUGGCGAACGGGUGAGUAACACGUGGGUGAUCUGCCCUGCACUUCGGGAUAAGCCUGGGAAACUGGGUCUAAUACCGGAUAGGAACACAUUAUGGAUGGUGUGGUGGAAAGUGUUUCGGUGUGGGAUGAGCUCGCGGCCUAUCAGCUUGUUGGUGGGGUGAUGGCCUACCAAGGCGUCGACGGGUAGCCGGCCUGAGAGGGUGUCCGGCCACAUUGGGACUGGGGUACGGCCCAGACUCCUACGGGAGGCAGCGGUGGGGGAUAUUGCACGAUGGGCGCAAGCCUGAUGCAGCGACGCCGCGUGGGGGAUGACGGCCUUCGGGUUGUAACCUCCUUUCGCUAGGGACGAAGCGCAAGUGACGGUACCUGGAGAAGAAGCACCGGCUAACUACGUG